CAAAGACAAAGCAAAAUUCAAUGAUUUUUGAAAACCAUGGAAGCAGAGGGACUGCCCAGCCUUGCCCAAGAUGUAUUGCUGGAGAAUCUUGACAGCUGUAAGAAACAAGGAAAACAACUUGCUAACUUUACUCAGGGAGAACUGGAAUCUCAAAACUAAACAAUUUUUCUACUUGGCUGUCCCGUGCAGAAAGGAAAAGAAGCUCAAGGGACACUUCAGUCACAUCCUGAGCUUCUAGAACUUGGGAGACAGCAAAUGAGCAGCACUGCUUUGCUUUUGGAGUUCUCAAGAUGCACCUGGCAAGCCUGUACAGCUGGAUACCUGUGCCCUCCGCCUCACAGCCUGGGUCAGGGUGGGGUACUCAGCACAGAGCAGCUGGCUGGAUGUGAUCCCUUUCAGUGCACACUUCUGAGCAUCACUGCUUUUACACUCGGAAAAAAUGCUUCUGCUUUUUAAGGUAGCUCAGUAGAUGUUGAAAGUCCCAGAAAUUACGUAAUGUUUUAGAGUAGUUAAACUGAUCUGACCUUUGGCCCAGUCUUCACCUGGGACUGGGCCAAAGGUUGUGUUGAUACAAUAGAUUUUCCUGUCUCUCUUGGACACUUUCUCUGAUUCUCUUGGAAAACAGUCUUUGCAUUCACAUUGCUACAGGGCCUGUGGUUUUAGCUCAGCCCUAUGUAAGCAGGCAGAAAUGGGAGGACAGAAAUGGCUUCAUUUUCAAUGACUGUUCAGCUCUGCAACUGUGAAGGCCAGUAAAAAUCCUCUGGAAACUUAGGUUUAAAUCCAAAAUAUCCAUCCAAUUCAGGUAUCUCACAUGUUCUCCUUCCAGGUUGUUUAUACCAACCAGAGUUUGUGAAUGUGGCAGGUAAGAAAUAGAAGUGGAAAUAUAACACAAAUGUAUUCAGAAAACAGGAGUAUUAGUUGAACAACCCUCUACAAAGCAAAGAUUAACAGGAACUCAGCUUUGUGGAGCCCUCCCAGAGCUGCUGAACUUGAGCUCUGCCCUGCUGCCACUCAGCUUUCCAGCACAGCUCAGCCCAAACCCCAGCAGGCAGCGUUUGUCCUCUCCUCUGAGAGCAGCCAGUCUAAAUUAAAGUGGUAGCUCCAGAGUUGCAAAAAUCUCAUGGCAAGGCUUUUAAAGGGUGGUUUCCCAGUGGGGUUUAUCAGAGUGCAAAAUCCUUGGGUGCAGGUUUUUCAGAGCCUCCAGUGCUUCCCUUAUUGUGUGUGGAGCUGUAGCUAGCACCCUAUUGACUGUUAGUAAGAAGAUAUUCUUCCUAAGUAUAGGAGUAUCCUAUAAAUACUGAAUUCAAUGAAGGAUGUUUUAGCUCCAUGGAAAAGAAAUGUUUUCCAAGCAAAGUUUUUCACACACUUCAAGAUUUUCUUCAAUCACAAGAACAGUAUGAGGCAGUGAAAGAUGGAAUCUCAAAGAAACUCAGCAGGUUUAAAAAUGCAUUGUCCCUGUUACCUGGAAGAUUUGAAACUCGUCUUGAAUCCUCACCCUCCCAGUGCAGGGGGGUGUGUCUAUCCACACUGCAAAGGAACAUGUCCUCACUCAGAGUGACAGUGUGAUGAGCAAAGUCCAGCAUCAGAGCUUAUCAAAUAGUGCAAAAUAAUGAUACAAAAUGUUUUCUGUGCAAAAUAAUGAUAAAAAAUGUUUUCUAAAGACUGAAAUUACAUGUUUGUUAUCAAGAAAACUAGAUCAUAUUUUGGGGGCAGUUCAUUUUUUUACAACAUUUUCCAACCCUUGUUUUUUUAAAACUCCUGGUAAUGAUAGUAAAAAAUAAAAGUUGAAGUAGCUGCUUGAAGACAAAAGACUGAAAGGUAUCUGAAACACUUGUUGUAUUUCAUCAAGUAAAACAUUGGACAAGUCAUGAUUAGCAGGACAGUGUGUGGUCAAAAUUCAGGGUAUCUAGAGAGGGGAAUAUCAGAGCAGAGUUGGACUCCACAGUGGGAGUUUCCUGCAGACAUCCCAGUGAAGAAUUAGGGCAUUGUGUUGAAAACACAGGAGAGGUGUCUAUGGUUUAUCAAACCAGAAGGAUGCUUUUCAUUUAGAUUACUCAAAAUUUAUCAUGUUAAGAAUUCAGAUACCUGUAUUUAUAUUUCUUCUCUUUGCCUUAAACUGAACUGCAUUUUUAUCUGGUAUGGGAUGUGGUAAAAUGAAGAAUUGCUGGUUUUCCUUGUGGUCCUCUUAGAUUUUGUGCCAUGUUCUCUUUAAUUCUUAUCCUUUUAGAGUAACCUUGACUAGUUUUUGGUGCCAUCUCCUUGUACCUAAUACCACAGGACUGGUUACAGUUCCUGGCUGCAUUGCACGUGCUGAGGAAGUCAUACCAGGGUUUGAUUUUCAUGGAAUUGUUUGGUAUUGGCCUUCCAUGGUUACUGUCCAGCCUGCAGGUGCUUUGCUACACUGCCCACCCUGCCUCUCCAGACUGCCCCUGAGAUUGCUGCAUCUCCACAGCUGAACAGAACAGGAGAACCUGAGCCUGUCUGUCACUCUGUUACCUGCAGUGGGAACAUGGGCCUGUGGUGCUUUUUUUGCACUCUUAGAAAUGCUUUACUUUACACCCAAUCUUAACUGAUCAGCAGUUGUUAUUCACAUGUACACCUAAAUGCUGUGCUAUAGAAAGUAAACUUCACUGAAAGGGUCCCAAGUAGAGUUCUUUCUGUAUGUUAGCUGCAGCCUUUUGCAUUCUCCAGGAGCACAAGACAGGGCAUAAAUCUACAGUUCUAAAUACAGUUCUACAAUAUUUAAAUAAAAACCUCCCCUGUUUCCCCUACCCCCCUAUCUAAUCUGGGAAGGAACUCCAAAAAGGGGUGCAGAAAUAGAUCAGCUAGUGGAAGGGUGACUCCCCUGUGUUCAGCCCAUCCCAGUUACCACUGUCCCAUAGUUAUACCAGUGUUGUCCAUAAAAUCCAUUGGAAUAGAAUGAAAACACCUGGCAGUUACCAGCUCUGUAACCAAAGAGAGUGAACAGAAAAGGUUUUGACACAGAAAUGUGAUGCCUUCCUUCCUUCCUUAGCAAAGAGGUGUAUGAAAACCUAUCUGGAUCUUCCUAAUCCUUCAGAGCUUCUAAGUGUCUUGAUAACUGAAUCCCCAACAGUUCAGUUUCCAGGAUAAUCUUCCCUAGUUAUUUAACUGCAAAAUACCAGGCUGGGUUAAAUGGGGUAAACCCAGUUCAAUAACUAGUGACUGGUAGGAGGUGGACAUGGGAAGAGGCCUAGGAACAGGACAUGUUUUGAAUGGGAAGACUUCUUGCAAACACAAAACCAGUAUUUGAUAGCAGGUUUUGUUGUGGGCAUCCUUUCUUGCCUCAUAGCUAAGCCUUGAACAUAAAAUAUCACAGAAAUUAUGAAAAUGUCAAUAGUUUCUAACAGUAUAUUUUUUUUCUUUGCUAUUGUUUAUCGACAUAAUAAGUUUAUUGGCCAUCAGGAGAAUGUUAAACUUGACUUUGCUCCCUUGGUUAAGCAUUGGUGUCUGCAGUAUUUGAGAAGUAGUUCUGUGCUCAAAUUCAGCAAACUUCAUUUGUGCAGUGUAAGGAUGUUCUUCCUAGUAUUUGUAGAAAACAGCAGCUGCCUCCUGUUUUCCCUGGGUUGGCUGACAAUAUAAAAUAAAUAAAAUAAAUCAAUUUUAAAAAGGAAACCUCAGGGAGCUGCAGUUCAAGGCACGAGGCAGCAGGAUAACUGUCCUCUACCUUUUUAUUAGUGUUCCACAGCCUUCCUUGUUGUGGGAGGCUGUAAAUCCUAACAAAAUCUUGGAAAACUUAACAAAAACUUGAACCGAUCUGUACUUACAUUCCUGGGGAUGCUCCUGCUGGGAACUCCAGCAUUCCAAACAGAAGGACCUUCCUGUUACACCUGCAUUCAUGCCAGAGUGAGCUCACUGGUGAAGCAGCUGCUGGUCUUGCUCCUUCUGCAGUGUGUGAGCUGCCCUCUCCAGCUGCCUGGAAACACAUUUAGCUGGUUAGAAACAUCAUUAUCCCAGGUUUUUCCACAAAUGAGAAUCCCUGCACUUCUGGAUAAAGUGACUCUCAGCUGCAGUGUGAUUCCUUACUCCCUGAUUUCUACUGGGGCAAGGAAUGCAUUUGUAAAUCAGUCAGCAUGCAAACAAACUGCAGUGUAAUAGUUCAGUGUACUGGAGGUUUAUUAUCACUGCUUUUUAAUCUAGAUGGAUUGUGUUUGUAGUUGGUUUCAGGAUUUGUCAGCUGGAAUCAUAAAGCUGGUGGGUGCUGUACAGGCUGGGACAGGUGGGUAUUUCUUUACAGCAGGUUUGUGUCAAAUCUGCAGCAGAACCACAAAGUUACUUUUGUAAGACUUUUCUUCACCUUGUAUAACUGUGAAAUUUUGUUGUAUUGCUAAAAAUGAUGGACACUUUAUAUUUCCUAACACUGUGGUUUGUACACAAAAUAACCUGAGCGAUCCUUGAUCUCCAUGUAUAUAGUGAAAUAAGCACAUGAUCUGGUUCCAGUUCAGGUUACAAUGAUACCAUUAAUAUUUUUAACCUUGUGUUUUGUAAAUUGUUACUCACAAAAGCAGAAGCAUUAAACACCCCCUUGGCUACCGACUGGAA